rnacentral:rRNA from 1 species
UACGUAGGUGGCAAGCGUUGUCCGGAUUUAUUGGGUUUAGAGGGUGCGUAGGCGGCCUUAUAAGUCAGUGCUGAAAUAUCCCGGCUUAACCGGGAGGGUGGCAUUGAUACUGUAGGGCUUGAGUAAAGUUGAGGUAGGCGGAAUUGACGGUGUAGCGGUGAAAUGCUUAGAUAUCGUCAAGAACACCGAUAGUGUAGACAGCUUACUAAGCUUUAACUGACGCUGAGGCACGAAAGUGUGGGGAUCAAACAGG